rnacentral:lncRNA from 1 species
UUUCCUAAAGAGAGGUAGAGAGAGAAAGUGGGAGAAGAGAAGAAGAGGGAGAGCUUGAAGAAUCAAGAUUGGAGUGAGGUUAGGAGCUAAAGUGAAGCCUAAGUUUAGAUUGAGCAUUACCUAAGCCUACUUGCCUGUAUGGGUGAGUAGACGUUGUGCAGGAGUAGUGCUCGGUGAGUCUUUGCGUGGGAUAUCGGGAGCUUUCUCCGAUAUCGGGUCGUGUCGGCUCUGAUCUAGGCUUGUCGUGUCGGUCUAGAUUAGGUUGUUUAUAUUUUCUGUUGGAUUAUGAUUUUGUUGAUGACUACCGUAUGUUUGGGUUUUGAGAUUUAUCCUUGAAACAUGAUUUAUUUGCUCAUGGCAUGUAUAUAUUUGAUCACUCUGAUUUAUAUUCCGCUACGACUGUUGAAGUUCAUAUAUAUGUCUAUCGGUUUUUGA